CCUACGGGAGGCAGCAGUGGGGAAUAUUGCGCAAUGGGCGAAAGCCUGACGCAGCGACGCCGCGUGAGGGAUGAAGGUCUUCGGAUCGUAAACCUCUGUCAGCAGGGAAGAACGGUCACUGUGCUAAUCAGCAGUGAAUUGACGGUACCUGCAAAGGAAGCACCGGCUAACUCCGUGCCAGCAGCCGCGGUAAUACGGAGGGUGCGAGCGUUAAUCGGAAUUACUGGGCGUAAAGCGCUCGUAGGCGGUAUGUCAAGUCAAGGGUGAAGUCCCCGCGCGCAACGUGGGAACUGCCUUUGAAACUGGCAAACUGGAGUGUGUGAGAGGAUAGUGGAAUUCCAGGUGUAGGAGUGAAAUCCGUAGAUAUCUGGAGGAACAUCAGUGGCGAAGGCGACUAUCUGGCACAUAACUGACGCUGAGGAGCGAAAGCGUGGGUAGCAAACAGGAUUAGAUACCCCUGUAGUC
rnacentral:rRNA from 1 species